rnacentral:rRNA from 1 species
GAUGAACGCUAGCUACAGGCUUAACACAUGCAAGUCGAGGGGUAACGGGAGGAAAGCUUGCUUUCCUUGUCGACGACCGGCGCACGGGUGAGUAACGCGUAUCCAACCUGCCCCCAACUAGGGAAUAACCUUGCGAAAGUAAGACUAAUACCCUAUAAUUUCCUCAGAUGUCAUCUGACGAGGAAUAAAGAUUUAUCGGUUGUGGAUGGGGAUGCGUCUGAUUAGCUUGUUGGCGGGGUAACGGCCCACCAAGGCAACGAUCAGUAGGGGUUCUGAGAGGAAGGUCCCCCACAUUGGAACUGAGACACGGUCCAAACUCCUACGGGAGGCAGCAGUGAGGAAUAUUGGUCAAUGGGCGGAAGCCUGAACCAGCCAAGUAGCGUGCAGGAUGACGGCCCUAUGGGUUGUAAACUGCUUUUAUACAGGAAUAAAGUCAGCCACGUGUGGUUAUUUGUAGGUACUGUAUGAAUAAGGACCGGCUAAUUCCGUGCCAGCCGCCGCUGUAA